GAAAACACAUAGAAGCACGAGGUUGUGUGUUUGAAUGGAGAGACAAAGUAUUUCAGGCCAAAUUGGAUCCCAAGUGUUGGAAAUUACAGGUAGAAGAUAUAAUGCCACAUGAUUUUCACUGAUGAUUUGAAGUUUGAGGGAGAAGACACUUGCAUAUGGCGUUUGAUAUGCGAGUUUGCAAAGAAUUUCACAUGUUGCUCAGUCUUGGAUGAUUAGCAGAACUCAACCAUUUCCUCCUCGUCCCUGGGACCUCCACCUCCACCACAGAGUGAAAUGGAAAAAAAGAAAGUGUGAAUUUGUUUUGUCCAUUGGAGGCUAGACAUCCCCUAAGGAGGGAGGUUCAGAUAGAAGCUUGAAUUU